rnacentral:rRNA from 1 species
AUUGAACGCUGGCGGCAGGCCUAACACAUGCAAGUCGAGCGGAUGAAGGGAGCUUGCUCCUGGAUUCAGCGGCGGACGGGUGAGUAAUGCCUAGGAAUCUGCCUGGUAGUGGGGGAUAACGUCCGGAAACGGGCGCUAAUACCGCAUACGUCCUGAGGGAGAAAGUGGGGGAUCUUCGGACCUCACGCUAUCAGAUGAGCCUAGGUCGGAUUAGCUAGUUGGUGGGGUAAAGGCCUACCAAGGCGACGAUCCGUAACUGGUCUGAGAGGAUGAUCAGUCACACUGGAACUGAGAAACGGUCCAGACUCCUACGGGAGGCAGCAGUGGGGAAUAUUGGACCAUGGGCGAAAGCCUGAUCCAGCCAUGCCGCGUGUGUGAAGAAGGUCUUCGGAUUGUAAAGCACUUUAAGUUGGGAGGAAGGGCAGUAAGUUAAUACCUUGCUGUUUUGACGUUACCAACAGAAUAAGCACCGGCUAACUUCGUG